rnacentral:rRNA from 1 species
CCUACGGGGGGCUGCAGUGGGGAAUAUUGGACAAUGGGCGCAAGCCUGAUCCAGCCAUGCCGCGUGAGUGAAGAAGGCCUUCGGGUUGUAAAGCUCUUUCAGACGGGAAGAUGAUGACGGUACCGUCAGAAGAAGCCCCGGCUAACUUCGUGCCAGCAGCCGCGGUAAUACGAAGGGGGCUAGCGUUGUUCGGAAUUACUGGGCGUAAAGCGCGCGUAGGCGGCUUUGUCAGUCAGGGGUGAAAUCCCGGGGCUCAACCUCGGAAUUGCCUUUGAUACUGCAAGGCUUGAAUCCGUGAGAGGGUGGUGGAAUAUCCAGUGUAGAGGUGAAAUUCGUAGAUAUUGGAUGGAACACCAGUGGCGAAGGCGGCCACCUGGCACGGUAUUGACGCUGAGGUGCGAAAGCGUGGGGAGCAAACAGGAUUAGAUACCCCUGUAGUC